GGGAGAGUGAGAGAGAGAGAGGAAGAAGAAAGGAGAAAGAGAGGGAGUUAGGCUUGGAUCUAGGAGUCUUUACGACCGUUGCGAGCUCGGCUACACGAUAGAAAAUUGUUGGUGGAACUUAUUGAGAAGUAAGGAACAAGCCGAGCCCUAUUUUGUACAAGGAGAACCCUUUUGGUACCAAAGGGUUGAGGUCCAGGCGAGGGAUCCAGUGGUGGACGAGGAAAGGAGCAAAGCUAGGGGUUUGCUUGUGAUUUGUAAAGAACUGCAACCCCUUUCUUUUGAGCAAAUAUAUUGUAAUGUAUUUAAGAUUAGGGUGCCAGUAGGAUAUGAUUAUGUAUGUGUGUGUGAAUAUGUGUGGAUUGUGUGCUUGUGUAUGAAUUUUUGUCUGUUUGCAGACUUGUGGCUAGGAAACUUGGUUA